rnacentral:rRNA from 1 species
UCGGAGGGAUCAUUAAAGAGUUUUUACAACUCCCAAACCCCUGUGAACGUACCUUUUGUUGCCUCGGCAGGCCUCGCCUACCCUGUAGUGCCCCUACGCUGUAGGGCCUAUCCGGGGAGUGCGGGGGGCCCUGCCGGCGGCCCGCGAAACUCUGUUUAGCACUGAAUUCUGAACGCAUAACUAAAUAAGUUAAAACUUUCAACAACGGAUCUCUUGGUUCUGGCAUCGAUGAAGAACGCAGCGAAAUGCGAUAAGUAAUGUGAAUUGCAGAAUUCAGUGAAUCAUCGAAUCUUUGAACGCACAUUGCGCCCAUUAGUAUUCUAGUGGGCAUGCCUGUUCGAGCGUCAUUUCAACCCUUAAGCCCCUGUUGCUUAGCGUUGGGAGCCUACGGCAGCGUAGCUCCCCAAAGUUAGUGGCGUGGUCGGUUCACACUCCAGACGUAGUAGAUUUUCACCUCGCCUGUAGUCGGACCGGUCCCCUGCCGUAAAACACCCCAAUUUCUAAAGAUUGACCUCGGAUCAGGUAGGAAUACCCGC